rnacentral:lncRNA from 1 species
GAAACUAUUAUAUUUUGUAAUUAAUAUAGUCCCUGUUCUCUGCAUCCGAGAUAUUUAUGUUGUGUCUAUGGAAAUAGGAACUCAGUGAGCAAAUGGUGGGUAGCAUGUAUUUAUAGAGAGAAUGGAGGGAUUCUAAGGAGGGAGCAAAGUGACUAUAACAAGAUUAGGGACAAGAGACUUCAACCAGAGAGUUCUGUGAUCAAUUCCCCGAGAUCUCUGCAUCUUCUGAGUUUUCUGCUUAGAAUCAGGGAAGCUCAGUGCUUGACAGGAACGAGCAGUGGCACUCUCAGUUUCACUGUGUUACAAAGGAGCCCUGAGGAAGGGAGGCCGCUGGCUGCCCAGGUGCCCUGGGGGGAAAGGGACUUCUGCUGCUGCAGAGAGUGGCACCCGGUGGGGCCAGGGGCUCUGGGAUGGUCCGUAAAGCUCCCCAGGACUUCUUUGAAGGAUGCUUUACAGAAUGUUUCUGGGAGACCAGCCUCAAGGUCAACCCAUCACAAACGUGAGGACCAGGAAGGAACCAUGGCCAGGGUUCUCCAUUUGCUGUAGAGUAUCUGGUGAUACAGUGAGACACUAAAGAGUCAUCAGCCAGUUCAUCUUUCCUCUGCCAAUAAGAGUGGAUAGAACAGGAAUGAAGUGUUACUGGUGGUAUUUCAGGCAUCAGGAGCCUUGGAAAAUCAUCGUAGGGGCCCAUGCCUGUCUGUCCCUAGGCACCUGGGCAGUGCCACAGAGGCCCGCCCACGACUGGCCAGGGGACAGAACUCCAGUAGUGCAUCCCUGUACAACCUGCACAUAACGGUUAUGUAUGUUCACCUAAAGGAGAGAAUAUACUUUCUAUUCCUAUUGCACAAAAACCUUGUAAACUUUGAGAGGUGCUGAAAAAGCCAAUUCUGCAAGCUCUCCUAGAGGACUGACAUUGUAACAUUAGAGUGAGAAGAUUUCUCUGCCACAUUCUUUUGUGUUAAUCCAGGUGUGUCUUCACACCCAGUGAGUGGAAGUUGCUGGAGCUCGGUACAGGUCCACCCAGCUGAAGUGGGUUCUUUUUCCCACUACCACUGGGGCAAGGGAGUGAGCCUAGGUAUGGUCACCUCAGCAGCCACAGUCUUAAAAGCAAGUCGCUAGAUUUUUUGAAAGUCCCAAGAGAAGUGGUGGUCUUCCCUUCUGUCAUCCCAGUAUAUAUAGUUAUACAUGUAAAUAUCUAAAUACCCCAUGUAAUGGGAAGGCUAUGUACAGGGCAGCCUUCCCAAACGCUGUGAGGGCACAGAGCUGCUGUGGCUGCUCCACCAGGGUGUGCUGGUGGCUCAGCUUUGGGGUUGGACUCCCACGUUCACCUCCCCCUCCUGGUCCAGGCAGAGGCACCAGAACCCAUCCUGCCUUUUCUCCAGUGUGAGCAUUUCAGGGAGCCACCAUCAGCCUUGGGUUCAUGAGAGGAAGAAACCCCCAAAGACCAAUGCCUGGAGCCCACUUCUCCAGCGACACCUUCCCUCGCCAGAGCAGGCUCCUAGGAGUGCAUGGCAGGGGUGCCGGGUCCCUGUGCACGGGUUUGCUUUCUGAACAUUGCCCAUCAACACCGCCUUCAGGGAGUCCCAGAGUAACCUACUACCUCCCCCAUCGCUCCUCUGCCCCCCUCACCCUGUGGGCACCAACACCUCCCGCACACAGAUGAAAACCAUCUACAGAGCCCUUCCCGGGUCCCUCGACCCAGUGGUGUAGCCGUUACCAAUGUUUACAACCAGGGGCCGCCCCUCCUUAGAUGUGUUUACUCGCAUUCACAGGCCACCUGUUGGUUUGAGUUUCAUGUGUCUCCUUCCCUGGCCUAGGUUGACUUGAGCACACAACUCGAUCUUUCUUCCCCUCCAUCAAGGCAGUGUGUGAGGACUGUGUGGGAAUGACAUUUCUUGUACAUACUUAGCACAGCACCUAGAGUAUGAACUUGUACUAUUGUUCUGUAAAGAGGGUGAAAUAGAGCUUAUUGUAAAGUGUCGGGAGAAGUAUAGUAUUGUAUUUGUAACAAUAUCGUUCUUUGUAUACACAAAACUCAAUGAUCUAUAUAUAAAUAUAAAUAAAUAUAUAAAUAAAAUAUAUCUACACGUGAGCCUGGAAUGUGGACACCGCACACCCACUGAAUGUACUUCCUUGACAGUCUGGUCACUGGUCCCUCCCUCCCUCCCUCCUCCGUCCCGUGGCCACAGUCAUCCAGUUUGGGGUUGUGAUGUAUUUACUGUGCUAUCUAUCUUCCUUUAUUUAACUGAACGCUAAUGUCUGUAUAAGAGUUGCUGCAACAAUAAACAAGAACUUCACCUCUU